UUGUUUUUAAGGAGGAUUAUAUGUAAUACCCCAAAUUUUUAAAGAUUAUUUUAUUAUUUAUUAAGGUUUAAUAUUAUUUCCACUUAAAAUUAUUUUUUGAUAAUGCGAUUUUAUUUGAUAACUAUGUUUAUUAAAAUAAUGAAUUCAUUUAGUUUUGCUUUAUUUGACAAGUUUCAAUUAAAUCAUUAACUUGUGUUAUUAUUCAUUUCAUUAUUUCUAAUUAAUCACACUCCUUAAAUUUGUUUGUUGGUACCUUUGUUCGUGUUGUCCAUCCACAUUAGUAAUCCAAAGCCCAAAUAUUAGUCCAUAGUCCAUAUGUAUUUUGCCAAAAAGAAAAGGGAAAAAAAAAGAAAGAAGAUGAAAAUGUGAUUCUCAUCAUCUUCCUCCCUCUUCUUCAUCUGAAUUGCAAUAGCUCACAAGGACCAAUUUUGUCAACAAUUUACAACUCUUGUCAGUAGAGUUGAUCUUCAGUCCACAAAAUCAGAUUUUAGGGGGUAAAAGUUUCAAAAGCUACACCAUAGCCUCACUUCCAGCAUUAAUGGAGCUUGACUAAGCUCCACAAGUUCAGAAAAUUUUCUCUAUAAAUAGCAACCCAAACACAUUCAAUUGCUCAAGCAAACAAGUUAAACUUCAAAGACUCCGAUUUUGUAGACGAGGAAUAUCAAGAGAGCUAAUCCGUUCGAUGAACUUAACUUUUGGGCACGCGUCACGAGGUCAUCUCCGAUGUCCAUCCAAACAUAGAUCCCGUGGGUGAUCGAUCGGGGGAACAAAAGGGAUAUCAUUUAGAGUGUCAUCUACUUAGCAUAUGAUUAGCUUCCGUUGAAACUCUGAAACAUUUAAAUAAUUAGUAAUGUUUAACGAACGAUUUACUUAGUUGUAAUGAUUAAUGAAUUUGAGUUUA